rnacentral:rRNA from 1 species
AAUCUUCCACAAUGGGUGCAAACCUGAUGGAGCAAUGCCGCGUGAAUGAAGAAGGUCUUCGGAUCGUAAAGUUCUGCUAUUAGAAAAGAACAAGUCAAGGAGUAACUGUCUUGACUUUGACGGUACCUAACCAGAAAGUAACGGCGAACUACCUUCCAGCACCCGCGGUAAUACGUAGGUGACAAGCGUUGUCCGGAAUUAUUGGGCGUAAAGGGAGCGCAGGCGGUAGGAAUAGUCUGAUGUGAAAGCCCACGGCUUAACCGUGGAAGGUCAUUGGAAACUGGCCAACUUGAAUGCAGAAGAGGUAAGUGGAAUUCCAUGUGUAGCGGUGAAAUGCGUAGAUAUAUGGAGGAACACCAGUGGCGAAGGCGACUUACUGGUCUGUGAUUGACGCUGAGGCUCGAAAGCGUGGGUAGCGAACA